ensembl:snRNA U6 U6 spliceosomal RNA
GUGCUCACUUUAGCAGCACGUAUAAUAAAACGGAAACAAUACAGAGAAGAUUAGCAUGGCCCCUGCACAAGGAUGACAUGCAAUGCAAUCCCUAUUAAA